GCGGCGGAGUAUGUUGUUUAAUUCGAAGAUACACGAAGAACCUUACCAGGUCUUGACAUACCAUUGACAGGCGCAGAGAUGUGCUCUCCUUCGGGCAAUGGAUACAGGUGGUGCAUGGUUGUCGUUUAGCUCGUGCCGUGAGGUGUUGGGUUAAGUCCCGCAACGAGCGCAACCCUCAUUGUUAGUUACUACCAUUCAGUUGAGGACUCUAAUGAGACUGCCAACGAUAAGUUGGAGGAAGUGGGGAUGACGUCAAAUCAUCAUGCCCUUUAUGACCUGGGCUACAAACGUACUACAAUGGCCAAUACAAAGAGAUGCGAAGCGGUGACGUGGAGCGAACCUCAGAAAGUUGGUCUCAGUUCAGAUUGAAGUCUGCAACUCGACUUCAUGAAGGCGGAAUCGCUAGUAAUCGCGGGUCAGCAGGCCGCGGUGAAUACGUUCCCGGGCCUU
rnacentral:rRNA from 1 species